CAUGGGAAGAUGAAAAGGGUCAAAGGUUAACAUGGGAAGAUGAAAAGGUUCAAAGGUUAACAUGGGAAGAUGAAAAGGGUCAAAGGUUAACAUGGGAAGAUGAAAAGGUUCAAAGGUUAACAUGGGAAGAUGAAAAGGGUCAAAGGUUAACAUGGGAAGAUGAAAAGGGUCAAAGGUUAACAUGGGAAGAUGAAAAGGGUCAAAGGUUAACAUGGGAAGAUGAAAAGGGUCAAAGGUUAACAUGGGAAGAUGAAAAGGGUCAAAG